CAGUAGCCGCGGUAAUACGAAGGGGGCUAGCGUUGCUCGGAAUGACUGGGCGUAAAGGGCGCGUAGGCGGCUUGUACAGUCAGAUGUGAAAUUCCUGGGCUUAACCUGGGGGCUGCAUUUGAUACGUGCGGGCUAGAGUGUGAAAGAGGGUCGUGGAAUUCCCAGUGUAGAGGUGAAAUUCGUAGAUAUGCGGAGGAACACCGAUGGCGAAGGCAAUCCCCUGGGCCUGUACUGACGCUCAUGCACGAAAGCGUGGGGAGCAAACAGGAUUAGAUACCCCGGUAGUCCCUGUCUCUUAUAC
rnacentral:rRNA from 1 species